GAUGAACGGCUGGCGGCGUGCUUGAUACAUGCAAGUCGAACGGAGAGUGUAGCAAUAUACUUUAGUUGGCGAACGGGUGAGUAACGCGUUGGUGACCUGCCCCGAAGCGAGGGAUAACAGUUCGAAAGAACUGCUAAUACCUCAUGUGAUCACCGGUUUUAGAAUCUGGUGAUUAAAGGUGAAAAUCACUUCGGGAGGGGCCUGCGUCCCAUCAGCUAGUUGGUAAGGUAAUGGCUUACCAAGGCGAUGACGGGUAGGGGACCUGAGAGGGUGGCCCCCCACAAUGGAACUGAAACACGGUCCAUACACCUACGGGUGGCAGCAGUAGGGAAUAUUGCAAAUGGGCGAAAGCCUGAUGUAGCAACGCCGCGUGUGCGAUGAAGGUCUUCGGAUUGUAAAGCACUUUUUGGAGGGAUGAGGAAGGACAGUACCUCCAGAAUAAGCCUCGGCUAACUACGUG
rnacentral:rRNA from 1 species